rnacentral:rRNA from 1 species
UUUGAAAUCUGGCAGUCUUCGAUUGUCCGAGUUGUAAUCUAUAGAGGCGUUUUCCGUGCCGGACCGUGUCCAAGUCUCCUGGAAAGGAGUAUCAAAGAGGGUGAUAAUCCCGUACUUAACACGACCACCGGUGCUCUGUGAUACGUCUUCUACGAGUCGAGUUGUUUGGGAAUGCAGCUCAAAAUGGGUGGUGAAUUCCAUCUAAAGCUAAAUAUUGGCGAGAGACCGAUAGCGAACAAGUACCGUGAGGGAAAGAUGAAAAGCACUUUGGAAAGAGAGUUAAACAGUACGUGAAAUUGUUGAAAGGGAAACGAUUGAAGUCAGUCGUGUUCUUUGGAUUCAGCCAGUUCUGCUGGUCUACUUCCUUUGAACGGGUCAACAUCAGUUUUGUCCGGUGGAUAAAGGCAGUAGGAAUGUAGCUUCUCCGGAAGUGUUAUAGCCUAUUGUCACAUACACUGGGUGAGACUGAGGACUGCAGCUCGCCUUUAUGGCCGACCUUCGGGUACGUUCGAGCUUAGGAUGUUGACAUAAUAGG